rnacentral:rRNA from 1 species
AUUGAACGCUGGCGGCAGGCCUAACACAUGCAAGUCGAACGAGUGGCGGACGGGUGAGUAAUUUCUUGGAAACUGCCCGAUGGAGGGGGAUAACUACUGGAAACGGUAGCUAAUACCGCAUACCAUCAGAUGUGCCCAGGUGGGAUUAGGUAGUAGGUGGGGUAACGGCGCACCUAGGCGACGAUCCCUAGCUGGUCUGAGAGGAUGACCAGCCACACUGGAACUGAUACACGGGCCAGACGCCUACGGGAGGCAGCAGUGGGGAAUAUUGGACAAUGGGCGCAAGCCUGAUGCAGCCAUGCCGCGUGUAUGAAGAAGGCCUUCGGGUUGUAAAGUACGUUCAGCGGGGAGGCGUUACCCGCAGAAGAAGCACCGGCUAACUCCGUGCCAGCCGCCGCGGUAAUUC